CCUACGGGGGGCUGCAGUAAGGAAUAUUGGUCAAUGGAGGAAACUCUGAACCAGCCAUCCCGCGUGAAGGAUGAAGGGGCUCUGCCUUGUAAACUUCUUUUGUCUGGGGCGAAAAAGCUCGAUUUAUCGAGAACUGACGGUACCAGAAGAAUAAGCACCGGCUAACUCCGUGCCAGCAGCCGCGGUAAUACGGAGGGUGCCAGCGUUAUCGGGUAUCACUGGGUCUAAGGGGUCUGAAGGAGUCAGUGGUGAAAGGCUUUGGCUUAACCAUGGAAUUGCCAUUGAUACUGCAGAGCUUGAAUGAGGUUGAGGUUGGCGGAAUGUGACAUGUAGCGGUGAAAUGCUUAGAUAUGUCAUGGAACACCGAUUGCGAAGGCAGCUGACUGGACCUAUAUUGACGCUGAGGCACGAAAGCGUGGGGAGCGAACAGGAUUAGAUACCCCGGUAGUC
rnacentral:rRNA from 1 species